CACUGGAUGAGCUCCACUACUUCAUCAUCCAGGAUGAUCUUGAUGGCACCAAGUAUGCGGUGCCAGAUCUGGCUGAUGACCUUCUGGGUCAUGCUCGCCACGGUCGCCAUGCUCUUAGGCACACUAUUGGAAGUUGAAGGGUUCACCUCUGGCAGCCAAAACAGUUGGUCGGAUAUUGAAGAAGGAUCUAUCUCGGGAAUAUUGGAUGAGAGUUCUUGAAAACAAUGAAUGGCAAAAAGAAAAAAAUGAUGAUGACAUUUUGCCAUCCCUAAGAAUUAGCUAUGAUUACCUUCCUUUCCAUCUGAAAAAAUGCUUCCCAUAUUUUGCCUUGUUCCCUGAAGAUCAUAGGUUUAAGAACUUAGAGAUUACAUAUUUUUUGAUUGCAAUAGGAAUCAUAGAUAAAGAUGAGAAUUACAUGGACGAACUGGUCGAUAAUGGUUUUCUGGUGAAGGUGAAUGAUGAUAGGGAGGGUGAAUACUAUGUUUUGCAUGAUCUAUUGCAUGAACUAGCACAAAAUAUUUCAUUAAAAGAAUGCCUCAAUAUAUAUAGCAGGGCAAGUUUUAUAGUUGAUUCCAUCCCAAAAUCUAUUCGUCACUUGUCCAUCACCAUGAAAAACAAAUAUGAUGGGAACUUCACAGAAGAAAUUAUAAAAUUUAAGAGAAAGGUUGACUUUGUAAAUUUGCGGACUUUGAUGAUUUUUAGAGGACAUGCGGGAACUAUUGAUGAUAUUUUGAAAGAUAUUUUUAAGGACAUAAAAGGUCUUCGUGUCUUAUAUAUAGAAGUUGAGUCCCUGGAAUAUUUACCACACAACCUUUCAAAUUUCAUCCACCUCCGAUACCUAAAAAUUACUAGAUAUAACACUAGCUCACAGCUGACUUUACCUAGCAUGUUAUCCAGAUUUUAUCACUUGAAAUUUUUGGACCUAAGUAGUUGGCAUGGUAGUGAUAAAUUGCCUAAAGACAUUAGCCACCUUAUAAAUUUAUGCUAUUUAUUGGUAACAAGGGAACUCGAUUCCAAUAUUUCGGAGGUUGGAAAGAUGAAGUCUUUAAAAGGGCUUACAAAAUUCUAUGUCAAGAAAGAGAGUGUUGGGUUUGAAUUGAGUGAGUUGGAGGAGUUAACCGAGCUUGGAGGAGAACUCAGUAUAUAUAAUCUUAGAAAUGUGGCAACCAAAGAAGAGGCUACCAAAGCCAAACUAGUGUCAAAAGGUGGUUUGAAAAAGUUGGAGCUACAUUGGGGCACAGAAUACAAUUGUUGGGGGGAACCUGAAGUCCAUGAUGAUAGUGCAGAAUUAUCAGAUGUUAUUGAAGGUCUCAGACCACACCCUGAACUUCAAUCACUUGUCAUUAAAAAUCACGGUGGUUCAACCGGUCCUAGUUGGUUGUGUGGUUCCAUUAGUGUACUAAUGUUGACGUCUCUCCACCUGGAGGGUGUUUGUUGGAGAAUUCUUCCACACCUUGGGCAGCUGUUGCGUCUCACGUCGCUCAAGUUGAUAAACAUUCCUGGAUUUGGUCAGAUUAGACCUGGCUUUGGUGGCGUUACGGAUAGAAGUUUUUUGCAGUUGAAGGAAAUUGAGCUUGCUCGGUUGCCAGAAUUUACCGAGUGGGCUGGUUUGCCUAAUGCACAUUUGUUUUCAAAGCUUGAAUACGUCGAUUGCACGGCAUGCCCCAAUCUUCGUGAGUUAUACUUCAUGCAGGAGGGCUCUGGCUCUUAUACCAGUCUAUUGACACUUAUGAUUAGGGACUGCCCUAAGUUGGUCCUGCCUCACGUGCCUCAGAUUUCUGCAGUAACUCCUAUUGAUGUGUCUGCUGGUCCUUCGGGGAGCAUGGAUCAUCCUGAACGAGAUUUGUGUUUGACGGGGUAUAGCGGUGGAUUUCAAGCUGCACCAAAAUUCACAUGGGCCCAACUCCCAAAGCUAACCUCCCUUAGGACACUUUGGAUUACAGAAGAUCCAAGCUUUAUGUCAGUUCCCCCGCUCUCCAACCUCACGUCUCUCACUGAUCUAAACCUAACGAAUUGUGAGAAUUUGGCGGUGGAUGGGUUUAAUCCACUCAUUGCAGCUGUCAACCUCGAGGUACUGAGGGUCCGCAACGGUGGAGAUCGUUUUCGCUCUGUAGCUGCGGAUCUGCUCUCCGAGUUGGCAGUGGCAAGCAUGACCAAACAAUUGUUGCCCUCUGCGGGCUGCUUUCGACUCGGAACGCUUGACGUGGAUAGCAUCUCAGCAAUGCUUGUUGCUCCCGUCUGCACUCUCCUCGCAUUUACCCUCCACUCAUUAUGGAUCAGCUGUGAUCAGCGGGUGGAGAGCUUUACGGAAGAGGAAGAGAAUGCGCUUCAGCUCCUCACCUCCCUCGGAUCCCUAACAUUCUGGGGUUGCCCGAGGCUGCCAUCGCUCCCUCGGCAAUUGCACAAACUUUCUUCACUCUGGUUCCUACAAGUCGGUGAUUGUCCUGAAAUCCGAUCACUGCCCAAGGAGGGGCUCCCCACUUCUAUGGGGAUGCUAACAGUAACCAGGUGCGCCCCUGAGCUACACGAGCAAGCCAAGGAAUUGCAAGGAACAAACCCACAUUUAGAUGUGACGUCCAAUUUGUAACCCGAGGCUUGCUUGCCUACAUGUACAGCUGCGUUCAACUUGCUAGCUGCAUGCAGCUUGUGAUUCUUUCAGCCUACCUAGGUACCCUCCUAGACAUGCAUCACUAUAUAUCUGGCUGCAACAAUUCAAGUCGGAUGCAUGUGCACUUGAGUACCGAAGUAACAAAACCAAGAUCAGCAAGUACAAGACCAAUGCCCUGCUUGGCUGAAGCAGCACACGUAUUACGGUUUUGCAUUGUAAAUUCGACACCCGUGAGGGAACAUGCAAGACCAGGUGCAACCAUCUAUGGAUUCAGCAAUCUGUACAUAUAACAUGCGUCAUCUUGGACGAUGAAACAGGGUACUGUCAGUACCUUUUAACAAGCCGGCAACAAGAUAUUCAGGUUGAUCAUUUGCUCACCAGCUCCCUACUACACCUUGAGAAGAUUGCAUAUAUGAUGAUAUAUGUUUCACUGGGCUGAUCCUUCAUAGUUUCGGUUCCUGUCUACACCUAUUGAUCGACUCAAAAACUAUCACAGGCGAAGAUGAAUUUUGCAGUCGGCAUUCUGGACUUCACUGUUCCAUCUAAACAGUGGAACCAUAGCGUUAACAGAACAACAGAAGCUUCUGUUUUUGAUCUCACUGCUUGAUGAUGAUGACUUGCUUGAUUCAUCAUGUUGCAUCAUCAUCCUUCAGGUGUUCCCCUCCCUAUCUAUUGACGAACCCAUACGCUAAGGCUGAAGUUGUAACUCAAUAUCCGAGCGGUUCUCCUGAUUCAGUGUUGUAUACAUUUCAAGGUCUUAAUAGUGAGAUGCCAUGCAAAAAAAAUAAAAUCUAUAACAAUCUAAUUUGGAUUAUGAUAAUGUUUCAGGUUUGGGAUCAACGCCUAUAUGUAGUGAUGUUUCACUAGCCAACUCAAAUACUUGGAUUAUGCAGAACAAUUUGCAGCCACCGGUGGAAUUCAGAAGUUGGUUGUUGGUCCGGACAGUAAGAGUAACCGGUGUGCCUCUGUGUGACAGAGUGCUGCGCAGUUCUGCUGCAUAAUCGAUCGACCCUAUCAAAGGUGUCUGGCACUGUCAGCCUGCCUCACUCUUGAGUCUUGACGAACCUGAAGUCCUCAACCCACUCCCCACCCUAAAAUGCAAGACUGGAAAGCAAUACAACCACUGUUUCAAAUAGCCCGCUAUAGCUCCGCUAUAGCACGCUAUAGCGUUUACAAAAGGUCUUGCGCUAAGAGACUUUGGUCCAAACAAAUGAACAAACAUUUUAAAUAGCGCGCUAUAGCUUCGCUAUAGCACGCUAUAGCAUUUGAAAGAGGUCCGACGCUAAGAUGCUUAGCGCGCUAUUUAAAACUUUGAAUACAACGUGCAACCCGCAUCUGCUCUGGCCACAUUUUACACUGGCGCCGCACGCCGCGUUGCAAGCUCGUCUCCCCGUUGUCAUUGGGCAAGCCAUCGUCGCCGGCCAGCUCCCCACCCACUCCAUGUUCCUCCGUCCACCCCCUCUCAUCUCCUUCCUCCUCCUUGUUACUGCACACGCUGAUUCAGUACGUGUAUGCAUCUACUCAAACGCCAUGUUCACACUUGUCUGCUAAACAAUGGCCCGCAUAGCUGAGCUUGUUAGUGUUCUCUCAUAUAUGGUGGAUCUUGCUAAGUAAAUAGGCAAUUUUUCGAUUAAUAUAAACGAGUAAAUCACUAGCAUGGCAUUGAUAGAAUUAAUCGCAUACUGACAUUCAAUCAUGCAAGCACAUACUGAACAAUGGCCAGUUCAGCUGAGCUUGUUAGUGUUGUCUCAUGGUGGAUCUCUCCUUCGUCCUCCGCCUACCGAUCACCACGGCAAAUCGAUUGACGGGACAGGAACAACCAUCUGCAAAACUUGGCACGCGAGAGAUGAUUGGGCCUGUUUCUGGAUGAUGAUGAUGGCGGUUUUGGAAAACCAUGCACAUGUUUCUGUAGUGUUCUUCGGUACAUCAAUUCUUCCGUACCCUUUGUAAACUUACUUCAAAGGAUGGAAUGUAAUUACUGCAGUUCGGUUCCAACAAGUAACCAAGAACCUGAGAAAAAAAGGCUCAACUGCUGUACUAACUGCUACUUCAGACUGGAGCACUGCUUCCUAUUAUGAUAUGUAAAUACUAGUAUUGUUAAGCUGCAUCCCAGUUCUAUAAAAUGUCCAUUCCUGGA